CCAAGAUCACUUAUCUCUGUUAAAUCUACUACCUGGAGACGGCAGCUGGGAGAUAGUUCGCACUAGAGAUGGCAAGGGAGAAGCUGGGAGCUGGAAGUUUUCUGCUGGUGGUGUGCUGCUGAGCUGGGGGAAGAGACUAACUCCUUAGAUAUAUUAAAAACUCAAUGAGUUAAAUGAUUUUGUGACAAGCAGAAAUUGGGGAAAUACCAUUUCCAGUGAGACCCUGAAGGACACAGCAGAUUGGCAAAUGAAU